rnacentral:rRNA from 1 species
GAUGAACGCUGGCGGCGUGCCUAAUACAUGCAAGUCGAGCGAACAGACGAGGAGCUUGCUCCUCUGACGUUAGCGGCGGACGGGUGAGUAACACGUGGAUAACCUACCUAUAAGACUGGGAUAACUUCGGGAAACCGGAGCUAAUACCGGAUAAUAUAUUGAACCGCAUGGUUCAAUAGUGAAAGACGGUUUUGCUGUCACUUAUAGAUGGAUCCGCGCCGCAUUAGCUAGUUGGUAAGGUAACGGCUUACCAAGGCAACGAUGCGUAGCCGACCUGAGAGGGGGAUCGGCCACACUGGAACUGAGACACGGUCCAGACUCCUACGGGAGGCAGCAGUAGGGAAUCUUCCGCAAUGGGCGAAAGCCUGGCGGAGCAACGCCGCGUGAGUGAUGAAGGUCUUCGGAGCGUAAAACUCUGUUAUUAGGGAAGAACAAAUGUGUAAGUAACUAUGCACGUCUUGACGGUACCUAAUCAGAAAGCCACGGCUAACUACGUG